AGUGAACGCUGGCGGCAGGCCUAAUACAUGCAAGUCGAACGGCAGCACAGCAGAGCUUGCUCUGUGGGUGGCGAGUGGCGGACGGGUGAGGAAUACAUGGGAAUCUGCCCAGUCGUGGGGGAUAACGUAGGGAAACUUACGCUAAUACCGCAUGCGCCCUUCGGGGGAAAGCCGGGGACCUUCGGGCCUGGCUCGAUUGGAUGAGCCCAUGUCGGAUUAGCUAGUUGGCGGGGUACCGGCCCACCAAGGCGACGAUCCGUAGCUGGUCUGAGAGGAUGAUCAGCCACACUGGAACUGAGACACGGUCCAGACUCCUACGGGAGGCAGCAGUAGGGAAUAUUGGACAAUGGGCGCAAGCCUGAUCCAGCCAUGCCGCGUGAGUGAAGAAGGCCUUCGGGUUGUAAAGCUCUUUUGUCCGGAAAGAAAGGCAUCCAGUUAAUACCUGGGUGUCCUGACGGUACCGGAAGAAUAAGCACCGGCUAACUUCGUGCCAGCCGCCGCAGUAA
rnacentral:rRNA from 1 species